UACAGAGGGUGCAAGCGUUAAUCGGAAUUACUGGGCGUAAAGCGCGCGUAGGUGGUUUGUUAAGUUGGCUGUGAAAUCCCCGGGCUCAACCUGGGAACUGCAUCCAAAACUGGCAAGCUAGAGUAUGGUAGAGGGUGGUGGAAUUUCCUGUGUAGCGGUGAAAUGCGUAGAUAUAGGAAGGAACACCAGUGGCGAAGGCGACCUCCUGGACUGAUACUGACACUGAGGUGCGAAAGCGUGGGGAGCAAACAGG
rnacentral:rRNA from 1 species